CAAGUACACGCACGCACGCAACACACACGAACACCGUACGCACACACAGCGACCCAUCCGCACUCUCGGCCUCGAUCGAUCGGUCCGGCUUGAACCACCGACGAUCCACACCAACAAUCGCGUACGUACGUGACCAUCAAUCGACCAAUCGGCCGGACCUCAAUCACCGGCCAUCACCACCGGGGCACCACGAGACCCUUGCUCAAGCACGAGCACCCACAACCGCAAACUCGCGGCCUUUGGAGGACACAGGUGGACACAGAAGAAGA
rnacentral:rRNA from 1 species